GCCUUCGUGAUGAAACGGGUAGCACACUCGGCGCGUAUUCUAGAGGUCCAGGUUCGAGUCCCGGCGAGGGCA
rnacentral:tRNA from 1 species